UAUGUUUGUUCUCCUCUUAUGUCCCCUUCAGAGACCAUUUAACUACCAUGGUGAAUGUACUCACAAACAUGAUGGGUGUGAUUGUAAUCCAUCAUUUCUGGGAAGCUGACGUGCUAGCCUUGGAAGAAAAACGAAGGACUGAYAAGGUUCGUUCCAACAGUGAACUCGAGCUGGACUUAACCUGUUUGGAGCCUGAUGACRAUCUCAUCCCGUCUGCAGCCUCCCCAUCAAGAUCMAUUUCACCUAAGUGAGGGGAUCGUCUCAGAACCAUAUUAACACCAACAAGCUGAAACCUCA